GCCUCUGGGGAUCUGCCGCGCGAGCUGCUCGCGUAUUGCGAAAGCACGACUAGGAGAAUCCUAAGGGGGCUCCCAUCUAAAGCUGUGCUGAUCGACGUUACUAGAUACUAU
rnacentral:rRNA from 1 species